rnacentral:lncRNA from 1 species
UUUUUGCCAUGCCUUACGUCCACUCUUUUCUCUAGUCGGGGCAUCCAAUAAAAAUAAGCAUCAACAGUUCCAACCUUAUACCAGCUUAUUUCAGAAACCCGAGAAAUACUAUUUCUGGGUACCAAAUACAGCGUUUGGAAUAAGGGCUUAUUCCUCCCUAGCUUGUCCCCGAACCAAACCCUGCGUUGAUGAGUAUAGAUCUCUUUGUACUCAUAAGUUUUCGACCAUUAGAUUACCCAUUUGAUCAUUUUCACCUAUUAGAUCAUACUAUUCAACCAACUACCCACUCAACCCCAGGAGACCACUAUUAUCUUAACCGGGGACCAUUUGCUUAUUUAUUAAAGAGCCGAGUAUGAGCUGGCUUGCGAACAGCAAGUUAGAUUGUCUGCUCAUUAUUGGGUAAAAAGUCAAAAGAAAAUUAAAAAAGUUCGAAUUGAAAAGUAAUAAUUGAAAUUUGCAAAAUGUAUGGGAUUAAAAAUAUAAGGGACUAUGAACCCUAAUAAUAAUAACUUGGCUUAAGCAUUUUGGGCUGUUAGUUUGGCCCCAAUGAAUUAUUACUGUUAGUGGACUGGGUCAUUACAUUUGGUAUCAGAGCCGGUUUACAAGUCGGAAGUAUAGGACCGACCUCACACAUCACCUAGUGAUCUUAUGCUGUAUAUGUGAUAGAUUGACGAGAAUGUCAGAGCCUAAACGGGAAGAGUCUGUGACAUCUUGAUAGUCCCAUAUUCAGUUGGAAAAGGGAUCAAGCUUGUAGUUUGGACCGUACUAUUAGUAUACGGGAUCGUUACUUUUGGUAUUAAAGCUGGUGUGAGGCACAUCACCUAGUGAUUUUAAAUUAUAUAUGUGAUGGGCUGACGAGGACAUCAGUGCCUAAACCGGAAAGUCUGUAACACGCUAAUAGUCUCACAUUUAGUUGGGAAAGAGAUCGAGCUUAUGGUUUGGAUCUAACUAAUUAUUAUUAUAUAUUAGUGGACCGAGUAAUCAUAUUUAGUACCAGAGCUGGUCUGAGACACAUCGCUCGGUGAUUUUAGGCUUUGUUUGUGAUGGAUAACUAUAAAACCGCCAAACUCCAAGCUGAUUAACAACCUAGAAGUCAAUCAUUUAUAACUACGUAGCAAAAUAAUAAUAAUAAUAAUAAUUUGAUCUUAUUUUUAAUAUUAACGUAUCAUUUCUAGUCCAAUUUGACACAUUUUUAACGUGCCCAGAGCUUCAAUUAAUUGGGAGAAAAUUUAUAUGUUUGUGGUAUGAUGGUCGAGCGCAAACCACUUCGACGCAUUGGAGGAUCCAAAAUUUCUAAAAAUAUUUUGGAGUUUUUCUCCUUUUAUGCUGUCAAAUUGUAAUGGAAACUGUCACUAAUAAAGAGUGUUUGGUGACAGUUUUCCACAAUCAUUCUAGAUGCUGAAGUAAAAGUGAAUAAAAAAUUAAGUACUUCCAGAUUUUUAAAAUGUUCUUAAAAUAUCAAAACAGAUGAAUCUGACCUUCACAUGCAUUCAGGGGCUAUUUGGAAGCAAUAAGUCGAAGAGCGAAAAACUGAUGAGUUUUGCGAAACUCGACCUCGCCUUCCAUUCAACUAAAAUUAAAAGAUCGAUCUACAUAAAAACGAGAAUGAAAAUGUGAAUAUAAAUAUUGACGUCGAUGACUUUUUUGAAAUCACGAAUUCAACCUCCGAAAUCCAGAAAACAAGCAAGCUAGCAUUUGGUUAUAAAGUGUCAGAUCAGAAGCCAACACAUGGUGGCUCUUCUCAUCCAACACUCUUCUUUUUAGAGAUGCAAAUAGGACGGGUCUGAGGGCGGGACUCCUGCCACACCUCCCGCCUCGACUACCGAAAUUCCGUCCCGCCUCCUGUCCCGAAUUCGCGAUGGAUUAAAAAAUAUAUAUUCCAUGAUCCGUCCAGCCUCAUAACCCAUCUUCCGCUGGCAUCUCGAAUCCACCCAAUCAAUUAAUAUUUUUUUAACAAAAUAUAACAUUAUUAAUAUUUUAUAAAAUAUAAAUUAAUAAUUUUUUAAUAAUAAUAGUGAAUAAUAUUACUAAGUUAUAUAUACAAUUAACAAUAUAAAUUAUAAAAAUAAAAAAUAUCAAUCACAAUGCGAAGCAAAAUUAAAAAGUUUCAAAUAUAUGAGAAAUGCGAGCCACCAACUUAUUUGUAUUUUGGAGCGGAUUCGGAACGGAUCAUGCUGGGCGGAUUCGGAGGGGAUAAAAAAAUUUUUCAUUUCCUACUCCCAAACCAUCUCGAAUCAUGAAAAUUAUUCUGUUUUCUACUCCGAACCUAUUUAUUUUCUCCUGUUUACUGCCUCAUUCAAGACAGAUCACAGUAAACUCUACCCACCCGGAUCCGUCUGCAUCCCUACAUCUUUUCCCUCCCCAAUACUCCCUUCGACGUGUCCCUCACCUGUGGGUCCCACCUGCAUGCCACCUGGGCUCACAAAUUUAAAACCCAAUGCAUGCAGCUAAGCUUCUUCUGAUCAUUACCCACAAGCAACCCUCAUCAGCAUCCCUCUCUUCUAGCUUUUAGCUCAAGUGCUUUUUAAGGAAGCAAUUCCUGUAUUUCAUUUUCACUCCACAAAUUUGGUUCCAUUGUUUCUCAUGCAUACAUGCAUGAUGGCUAGACACAGAACACCUUUGUUCUAUUUGCUGCUGCUUCUUCUCCCAGUGCUUUUGCACAUAGCUCUUCCUGCUUCUUCCUCCUCUUCUUCCACCCAAGGACCCCCCACAGGUGAGAGGGUUAUAUAUAUUAUAUAUAUAUAUAUAUAAUAUAUAUAUAUAUAUAUAUAAUAUAUAUAUAUAUAUAUAUAGUAUAGAUUAUUAUAUAUAUAUAUAUAUAUAUAUAUAUAUAUAUAUUAUUUCACAUAGUACAGAGUGGGCAGUGGCCGGGUUAUAUAUCUUUAAAGUUCGAAUGAACCCCUUCAAGUUGACUAAUUUCGUUGAAAUUUAUUCUUAUUUAAUUCAAGUACCAUGUUUGAAGCCUAUCAAAAAGUCCUCGAUCUACACUCGAUACGUGAAGACAGAGUACUAUUGACGUAUUAAUUUUAUAACCAUAUAUGUUGGUUCGCGAUAGGUAGAUUUAAUGCAUUUCGAAAUAAAUCCGAUUGUUCACAUUAUUCCAAACUUGUUAAAUUGAAAUAUAUGGAGUAAAAAGAUUGUGUGCGUGUGUAUAUAUAUAUAUACAUAAUUAUAUAUAUAUAUAUUAAUAAUAUUCAUAUAUAUAUAUGGAUGGCAUUACUGUUAACAAUAAGGAUUACCAGGUUAAUGUUUCUCGCUACAUCCAAAACAGAUAGAGGCUGGGCAAUUAGAUGUCUGUAAACAGUAUAUACUAAUUAUAUGAUAACUAUUAAUUAGAAUGUUUGUAAUACAUAAUAUAUGUCACUGGCUAGGUUAUCACUCAUGUACUGUGAAAUAGAUCAAAGAUUAUAUUAGUCUCACACAAUUUAUAACUGGAUAAUAUUUCUAGAAUUUUUUUAAAAGAAAAAAGGUAAAACAAGAAAAUUUCAGUAAAUUAGCCUUAACUUUUUUUCCUCUUACCCGCCCUAAUUUCAGAACACCCCCCCGCAUUUUAUUUCAUUCACCAAAAAUUACAACUUUAAUGCACCUUAGCUCCCUCCACAGUUCGUCUUAUCCAUCCUUUUUUUUAUAAUUAAUAACUGAAAAAUAUCUUUUAAAAAUAAUAGAAAUAUAUUAAAAAUUUACUAUUUUUCUUCAUAAAACAAAGUAAGGGUAAAUUUAGUUUAUUUCGCACAACUAGAUCCAGUAACGGUAGCCCUCUGAAAAACAUCUUUUAAAAUUUUAAUGGGACAAAUAUAGAUUUAAAACUAUGGAGAAAAGUGUAAAAGUGAUGAUAUAUAUAUAUUAUAUAUAUAUAUAUAUAUAUAUAUAUAUAUAUAAUAGGCUAAAUGGCGCUAUCCUAAUUAAUAAGGAUAAGAGCACUUGUCCUAUCAAGUUGCUCUUGAUGAUGCGAUGAAUUACCGAAUGCGAUGAUUGGCGGAGCCUGUUGAAGUUGAUCUCGAGUAUUUGGAAAUAUGCUAGAACUAAAUCAUCAUAAAUUUUUGAUAACUGGUUUACAUGGUGAUGCAAAGUGUCGUAACAUUCGACAAUUUUUGAGGCCUAUACUGAGGCCGUUUUGCCUGUUUAAUAACGGUGUAGAGCAAUCCCAAUUAACUUGAAUUUUUCGAUUACAAAAUUUUUAUAUUAUUAGAUAAAUGUUAGAUAACUCUGAUUACGAAGACUGAGAAAGUCUAACCUCUAUUUUUAGAAGGUAAUUCAUUUGAUGACCGUAUUUAUUUUUCAACUCUUAAGAUGAACUUGAUAAUGAUUUUUAAAUAUUCCAAAUUUGGUUUCCUAAACGAUUUUCUAAUUGUGUAGAUCAAUCUUCAACGUGCCUGAUUAAAUCAAUUUUUGAAGUCCGAUCAUUCAAAUCGACUAGAUAGGACAUAGCACCCAUCCUAUUAAUAGAUAGUAAAGCCCGAGACCCUAUAAUAUAUAUACAUAUGUAUAUUUGUAUAUAUACAUAUACAUAUGUAUAUAUGUAAAUAUAUACAUAUACAUAUGUAUAUGUAUUACUAUACAUAUCCAUAUGACAUAUGUAAUAUAUACAUUAUAAUAUGUAUGUAUAUAUAUAGGUCGCUACUAUACAUAUUAUGAGUACGAUCGCCUCGUACUCAAUAAGGUUGUUUUCGAUGAUAGAGCUUCCGAAUCGACGAUCCACACCGUUAAACGUUAUUUACGUCAUUUAAAACUUCUAAGAAUCAAAUUUUAUAAUUUUUCGACAUCAUUUACCUUACGAUCAAGAGGUCACAAAUUUGACAAUUUUUAACGGCCGGUAUGGGAUACUUGCUAGUUUAACGGUGUAAAAGAAUCGGAAUUUGUUGAAUUUUUGAUAGAAAAUUCUAUUCACUACAUAGAUAAAGAUCAAUAACUCCGAUCUUGAAUUGAAGGAUCCGAUCAUCCUUUUUUAGGACGUCGUUCGAUUUUGACCGUUCAUUUUAUGCCUACUUGAUGGACUUUAUUAUGAUUUCAAAAAUUUACGAAAUUUAUUUUCUAGAAGUUUCAAAUACUUUAGAUCAUAAUUAACGGAGUGAAUCGUCAAUUCGGAAGCUCCAUCAUUGAAAACAACUUAUGAGUACGAAGGCUUCAAUACUCAUAAUAGUAUAGUAGCCAUGACCUAUAUAU